rfam:Ricinus communis cultivar Hale ctg_1100012359897, whole genome shotgun sequence.
AAUCCAUGGUGUGGGCAACAUAGAAGCAAGUCCUUAUACCUCUCCCAGGCAUCAUACAUACUCUCAUCAUCGAACUGCAUAAAAAGAAGAUAUGUCAUUUCUCAAUUC